CUACGGGGUGCUGCAGUAGGGAAUCUUAGACAAUGGGGGAAACCCUGAUCUAGCCAUGCCGCGUGAGUGAUGAAGGCCUUAGGGUUGUAAAGCUCUUUCGCUGGGGAAGAUAAUGACGGUACCCAGUAAAGAAACCCCGGCUAACUCCGUGCCAGCAGCCGCGGUAAUACGGAGGGGGUUAGCGUUGUUCGGAAUUACUGGGCGUAAAGCGCGCGUAGGCGGGCUAUGAAGUCAGGGGUGUAAUCCCGGGGCUCAACCCCGGAACUGCCUUUGAUACUGGUGGUCUUGAGUUCGAGAGAGGUGAGUGGAAUUCCGAGUGUAGAGGUGAAAUUCGUAGAUAUUCGGAGGAACAUCAGUGGCGAAGGCGACUCACUGGCUCGAUACUGACGCUGAGGUGCGAAAGUGUGGGGAGCAAACAGGAUUAGAUACCCGUGUAGUC
rnacentral:rRNA from 1 species